AACGAACGCUGGCGGCAUGCCUAACACAUGCAAGUCGAACGAGACCUUCGGGUCUAGUGGCGCACGGGUGCGUAACGCGUGGGAACCUGCCCUUAGGUUCGGAAUAACUCCCCGAAAGGGGUGCUAAUACCGGAUAAUGUCUUCGGACCAAAGAUUUAUCGCCUUUUUAUGGGCCCGCGUUGGAUUAGCUAGUUGGUAGGGUAAAAGCCUACCAAGGCGACGAUCCAUAGCUGGUCUGAGAGGAUGAUCAGCCACACUGGGACUGAGACACGGCCCAGACUCAUACGCGAGGCAGCAGUAGGGAAUAUUGGAAAAUGGGCGAAAGCCUGAUCCAGCAAUGCCGCGUGAGUGAUGAAGGCCUUAGGGUUGUAAAGCUCUUUUAACCGGGAUGAUAAUGACAGUACCGGGAGAAUAAGCUCCGGCUAACUCCGUG
rnacentral:rRNA from 1 species